CUACGGGACGCUCCAGUGAGGAAUAUUGCACAAUGGGGGGAACCCUGAUGCAGCAACGCCGCGUGGAGGAUGACGCAUUUCGGUGUGUAAACUCCUUUUAUAUGUCAAGAAAAUGACGGUAGCAUAUGAAUAAGCACCGGCUAACUCCGUGCCAGCAGCCGCGGUAAUACGGAGGGUGCAAGCGUUACUCGGAAUCACUGGGCGUAAAGGACGCGUAGGCGGGUUGGAAAGUCAGGUGUGAAAUCCUACAGCUUAACUGUAGAACCGCACUUGAAACUUCUAAUCUAGAGUAUGGGAGGGGGAGAUGGAAUUAGUGGUGUAGGGGUAAAAUCCGUAGAUAUCACUAGGAAUACCUAAAGCGAAGGCGAUCUCCUGGAACAUUACUGACGCUAAGGCGUGAAAGCGUGGGGAGCAAACAGGAUUAGAUACCCCCGUAGUC
rnacentral:rRNA from 1 species